rnacentral:lncRNA from 1 species
GAGAAGGGAAAAAGGAAACUCCCCUGAUCAUGGUGGCAGUUGCCAAUUUUGGACUUUCAGGGAGAUCUCUUCCACCACCGGAUUCAACAAGGAAGUCUUAAGGAAGAACUGCUUCAUCCUCCAAAUUUGAUCGAGCAGGGAGAUGUCCUCCACAGCUGGAUCUAAGAAGCAGUGAUUGUUGAUGAGCCGGUUCAGUUGGUGCCCAUUGAUGUUGAAGCUUUUAUGNACUCUGACACCUUUGUCUUCCACCAUGGGUGUGUGUUGAUUAAAUUCAUAUGUACCUCCUGCAACAUGGUUAGUGUAACAUGGUUCCACAGAAAUAACAUGCAGGGGUAUAACACCCAAUCCCAG